CCUACGGGUGGCAGCAGUCGAGAAUCAUUCACAAUGGGGGAAACCCUGAUGGUGCGACGCCGCGUGGGGGAAUGAAGGUCUUCGGAUUGUAAACCCCUGUCAUGUGGGAGCAAAUUAAAAAGAUAGUACCACAAGAGGAAGAGACGGCUAACUAUGUGCCAGCAGCCCCGGUCAUACAGAGGUCUCAAGCGAGGUUCGGAAUCACUGGGCGUAAAGCGUGCGUAGGCUGUUUCGUAAGUCGUGUGUGAACGGAGCGGGCUCAACCCGCGGACGGCACAUGAUACUGCGAGACUAGAGUAAUGGAGGGGGAAGCGGAAUUCUCGGUGUAGCAGUGAAAUGCGUAGAUAUCGAGAGGAACACUCGUGGCGAAGGCAGCAUACCGGCGCCCGACUGACGCUGAGGCACGAAAGCGUGGGUAUCGAACAGGAUUAGAUACCCCAGUAGUC
rnacentral:rRNA from 1 species